CUUCCCCAGCCAAACACUAGAAUAUCAAAAAAACCUUCACCAAAGCCAACCAGCCUUUUCUCAUCUGCGAGGAAAAAAAUAUAAUUCAACCAACUUAUCAUACACAAAUUAAUAGCCAACAUUUACAUUCAAAGAAAACCUCUGUAUGAUCAUAUCCAUAAUGUGAAGGUGAAUGCCCAGCAAAGAGAUGUAAAAUCACAACUAAGGCAGGCCUUCUCUUCUAUGUUCACUGAAUUCUUACCCUUUCUUGGAUGAGUGUGACUUUUUCCUUACUAAAAACAUUAAAAAUCGGGGGAAAUAUGAUUUCUUUUUCUUUUUUU
rnacentral:misc_RNA from 1 species